GUCCGCCUCCGCCCCGUCUGCCCCCACCCAAUCAGGUUUCUAAGCAGGACCCGGCCGGGUUUCUAAGUGGGACCCGAUUUGCCCCCACCCGGUCCACUUUCUAAGCGGGACAGAGUCCUCCUCCGCCCGGUCCGCCCCCACCCGGUCCCGUUUCUAAGCAGGAUCCAGUUUCUAAGCGGGACCCAGUCCAUGGGCACCCGGUCCGGUUUCGAAGCAGGCCCCUCUACGCCCCCCCCCCCCUCCCCGCGGUCCGGUUUCCAAGCAGGACCCAGUCCGCGCACACCCGGUCCCGUUUCUAAGUGGGACCCAGUUCAGCCCCAGAGCCUUCCGGUUUCUAAGACGGAAGUAGGCCCCUCCGACCUGGUCCGCGUGCUAAGCGUGGCCCAGUCUCCUCACAGCCAGCCACCCGGGGUUCUGUGUUGGACCCAGCCGGCCCCUAGUCUGUUUUAGUUUCUAAGUCAUACCCAUGCCCACCCUGUGCCUCGUCCAGUUUCUAAAUUGGGCCCAAUCUGACUCAGCCGGUGUCCGGACUCAGUCCGGAGAGAGAAAUGCUCGAGUCAAAUCUGAAACACCUCCCUUGAGAGCUGCAGAGCUAGCAUCCAACAGGGACGUACAGCCUCCAGAGGCAGCGGGAAAGCAGAGGCUCAGGGGGUUCAGCAGCUUGUCCACGGUGUCUUCUUCACUAGACCACGAGCUCCGUGAGGGUAGACACCAAGCCUGUCUCAUCCAUCCCAGGAUCUGCCAUGUCGGUCCCCUUGCCAGGUGGACACCAGACUCAAGAAAUAGCUGUUCAGUGAAUGCAUGUCUCAAAGCUUUUAAGUUUUAAGGAUAAUUCUCCGAGCCAACUGCGUGAUGAUACUGGAAACAUAAGAACUGAACGGGCUCUUCCUGCUCUGUGUCUCCCAAAUCCAGCUGGGAAGCAGGAGGUUUGAAGGACAAGCAUUAUAGAUGGGGACUCUGGGUGAAGAACCUCAGCCAGGGAGCCAGGCCAGGACUGUCAUUGUGAAAUAGGAACAUGUUCAUGGGAGGUGACCCUUUGCUGGAACCCAUCAAUUCCAAUGUGGUCAAUAGCUUUGGAUUGUUAUGCAAUGUGACUAAUUCACCUGUGGAAAAAAUUUAGCUCCAACAGUAAUGCUAUUUUUUGUUUUUCAUUAAAAUCCUGAUAUCCUGACUAAUCCCAACUGGACUGUGUCCAGACUGUAUCAUUUCUGUAACAUUAGAAAAUAACCUGUAACCACACCAGCAAAGCCACCCCUUAAAGGACCAAUGGGAACCGGAGGAGUCUAGAGCCCCCUCACCACACGCACACACCCAAAAAAUGACUAGUGAAAUAAUUUGGCCUGAAUUGUUGUUUAAUGUAAUCGAAUUAGAUCUCCAUAUCCGAAUAGGCUUGGCCUUCUGAGUGUGUGUCAUUUAGUCUCUCUAAAUCAGUCACUCACUUGAGUGCCUACUAUCUAGAACCCUAGGGGCCGGUAAUCGAAGUAACUGUUUCUAUUCGAUCUUAUUGUCCAUUUGGAGAGACAGAAUGGAAAAGAGUAAGUGAACCAAAGUGCUAGAGGAAUGACAAUAUAUAACUUUCAAAUUCCAAGCAAUGCAUCCAGCGUUCAUAGAGAGGCAUACCCUGAGGAAUCGGAAGCAACCUCAAGAGCACCAGUCCUACAUUUUCUGCACCUCUGGCAUUUACUAUUGGCUCAUGGGUUCUCAGUUUUUCACAGGACCUCGUUUCAAUGCCGUGUAGGACUGUCUUCUCCAAAUUAGCACACAUAAAUGCCAAAGAGUCAAAACUCUACUAAUUAUCCCAAACUUUGUGACUGUUUUUUGGUACUACUUUACCUAUAAACUCCAUAUUCGUGUUCUCAGAGUUCUUAACAAAUUAUUAAACACUGUUUAAAGAUGGUUUGCAUGACACCAUUUCAUGUCGAUUCUCUGCUCAAAGACUAUAAUCGUUGUGCCUGUGUUUCAGUGACUCUAUACUUAAAAUUUCAACUUGGCCCUCUGUUACAAGAGACUUUUAGAUUUCACUUAUCUAAAAUUAAAUUCCAGUUAUAUUACUGAUAAUAAAUUUUUUUUAUGGUAAACUUAUGAAGCAUUCACUUAUUUGUAUAAGCCUAUCCGUAUGUCCAAAAUGACUGGGGAACAGACAGGCAUAUGGUUGAGAGAGUCAUAAGAUGGUGUGGGAUCUACUGGAAAGAAAUGCUGUCUUUUUUUGGCUCACCAAGAGCCUGAGAAGAUGUAGGCCUACCCUUUGCUGUCAGCAGCAAUCAUGCCACCAGACAAAGCCCAACGUCAAAGAUAACCUGAAGACAAAUGUAGCCAAAUUCUAAUGUCAGUCUUAUCAACCCUAACCUGAGUCCAUCCUACACCUGGCCUUGCAUGUAAGUGCACCUAAAAUUCUUUUUUAUGCUCAAGUUCAUUACUCAGGUUGGAUGUGUCUUGCAAACAAACGAGGCCCAACUGGUUCAUUCUCACAAAAGGAGCAAGGUACGAAGAAAACUACAAACAGGACAAAUUUAUGUCACGUUGUAUUUAUUGGUAUUCAAUCUGUUUUCUUCCCAGAGAGAAAACAUAUAGUCUGAGGUAUCACAUUUUAAUAAAUCCUUUGCUUCUGGCUUUACAUCCUAAAUGUCUAUGACCCCUAAUCAGGGUUCAGUGCCAUCACACACAGUGGUUACAAUUUUUCCCUGAGAUCAUUAAGGCUAUGCCUUGAGCCACAGAAUAUCUUGCUCUACCAAAAUUCAGGAGAAAACAGGAAACUGGACGUCUUUUAGCAGUAGAAGAGGCAGACAUCUUAGGUAGAAUUCCUGAGAAAAAAGUUGUAGAGUCAUCCAAUCCACUAAUUAAUAUUUCCCUGGUUGUGAACUCUUAUCCCUUCAGAAUCUCCAAACAUUCUAGAAGGGAAAUUCAUUUUAUUGCAUAUAAAGACACUUUAUCACAGCUGUGCGCACAGUAUUUUGACUUUUGCAAACUGCCAGAGAGCCAUCAUGAUGCCUCAGUUUCUGAUAAAAUGCAGAGCUAGUGAGGUAUGGUCAGCCUCUCUCCAGUGGCAUGUGGGAAGGAGAAUCCCAGACAUAGAUGAUGAGAAAACAUGGCUAUCACAUUAAGUGUGUAAUCAGGCCUGCCAUGUGUUUCAACAUGGUUUGAAAUCAAAACAGCUCAGGAUCUUCUACAAGUACAAAUGGUGGAAAGACUUACUGGAUCAUCACCUCAGACCCCAGCCAAAUCAACACACCAAAGCAUCAGGCAAAUGGACAUCAGCACGUGUCUCCCAGUCUGAUGCACCAAGAGUCCAGUCUGAAGGGGAUGGCAUCCCAGCAGCCCCUCCUAGGUUACAAGAAGUCACAUUCUGGGAAGGAGCCAGCUUGCCAGGAUUGGUUGCCCUUGCAUUUGUUGUUCCUCCACCCACCCAUCCCCCUAAGAUGGCACAAUGGAAUGAUUGUGUUCCCUAUUGAGGACUUCCCUUUUUAAAAAUAAACAAGCAAAAGUUUCCCUAAUCUGACCCACAUUCAAUAGUGGAAGAAGGCAGCCAGUCCCGGGGUGGGGAGAGUGGGAAAGGAAGCCAGGCAUCAGGCAAACACACUUGGGGACGAUGUGUGGGACAGUGUGCAGGCCUCCGAAGAUAGAAUAGUGAAAGAAAAGCUGAGCAUCAGUGGGCUUGUGGCACUUGCAGAGACAUCGUUCCAUGGACACACCAUUCGUUCCCUUUCU